CAUAGCAACUUAGAGACUACGGCGGCCGAAGGAGCCAAACCGCGCCAGGCUUUUUGUGCGUGGUGCAAAGGAUGCUGGGAUGGGCUUGGAGGCCCCACAGUUAUGGAUGCGAGCUGCGAGGAUUUUGCAGUGUCUCCUUUACCAGAUGUUGGCUGGGCACGUUAUUAAUAGUUUUUAACGUGUUUACGUUACGGCUUCCAAAAAUCUUAGUGAGUUUUCUCUGCGCCCUCCCUCUUAGCGCCGCCUUUCCAUGCCCACCGUCCGUGACUGUCCCCCUAUCUAGCUUACUCCAAAGAAGCUCCGGAGAGGCCAGGCUGGGCAGAGUGAGAGUGCUUUUACGUUUCUCUGACGCCGGUCUGCGAUUGUCCCCAGCCUUGUCUAAUUUGACUUUACCGGUUCGUCUUGGGCACAGACCGCUCUCUGAGGCUGCACAGCGCCACGGCUGGGCUGUCCUGUGUUUUGCUGUUGAAUUGGAAACCACCUGACUCUGUAUACACACUUGACUGACCUGUUGGACACUUCAGUUUGUCAGUCUUGACGUUGAUUUAUUGUCUGGAAUGAUGGCAACCAUUUUGUGACCAGGAAGUGACAAGCAUGAGGACAAAGGUCAAUAUCCUAAGGAUGGCGGAAUGGAAGCCUGGAAAGAGCCUUAGUAAUUGAUGACAUUGUUAAGAAAUAGAAUCAAAGGCAACAUACUCUUUGUGGAGAUGAACUUUUAUUUGUUUAAACCAUGGUUAGUUCAUUUGUUGUUGUUGUUUUAAUUAUUUGUGAAUGAGUACAUUCCUAAUUUUCCUAAUUGGUAUAUUUCUCUAGUAGUUGGGAUGUUGGUGUUAAAUAGUCAAAUAGGAAUGGGGAGACUCUCCUAUGGACAGCUUUCCACACUGCAUUGUAUAUUAUGGUCUUUUGGAUAGUCAUUGAUUAGUGCUAUGAAUUAAAAAUGAGUUGUGCUAGAAUUUAUAGAAAAAUCAACACAAAUUUGUGAACUUACAUUGUGAUUUUAUUUUUAUUUUAAAAUGUUCAUUUUUUAUUUAUUUUGAGAGAGAGAAAGAGAGAGAGAGCAUGAGUAGGAGAGGGGCGAAGAGAGAGGGAGAGAGAGAAUCCCAAGCAGGCUUCACACUCAUCAUGGAGCUUGAUCUCAUGACUGGGAGAUCAUGCUCUGAAUGGAAAUCAAGAGUCAGAUGCCUAAGAUUGAGCCACCCAGAACUCCCCUACAUUGUGAGUUUUAGAUUUAAAUGCUGGCAUGUACUUAAAACUGGCACAUUAAAUUAAAAUUCUGCUAUUUAAAACUGUGACUUGGCUGAUUUCAGGAUAAACUUCCGUAAGAAAGUUUGUUGAAUUCUGUUACUUUAAAGAAUAGAACUAUGAAAAUCAAACAAACAAAAAAUAAAACAAAGUAACAACUACA
rnacentral:lncRNA from 1 species